rnacentral:rRNA from 2 species
CGCUGGCGGCAUGCCUUACACAUGCAAGUCGAACGGCAGCGGGCCCUUCGGGGUGCCGGCGAGUGGCGAACGGGUGAGUAAUGCAUCGGAACGUACCCGGGAGAGGGGGAUAACCGGCCGAAAGGCUGGCUAAUACCGCAUGAACUCGGAAGAGCAAAGCGGGGGACCUUCGGGCCUCGCGCUCUCGGAGCGGCCGAUGUCCGAUUAGCUCGUUGGUGAGGUAAAGGCUCACCAAGGCGACGAUCGGUAGCGGGUCUGAGAGGACGAUCCGCCACACUGGGACUGAGACACGGCCCAGA